rnacentral:rRNA from 1 species
AGCGAACGCUGGCGGCAGGCCUAACACAUGCAAGUCGAACGGAUCCUUCGGGAUUAGUGGCGGACGUGUGAGUAACACGUGGGAACGUGCCCUUUGGUUCGGAACACCUCAGGUAAACUUGAGCUCAUACCGGAUGUGCUCUUCGGGGGUAAGAUUUAUCGCCAUUGGAGCGGCCCGCGUCUGUUUAGCUAGUUGGUGAGGUAACCGCCCACCAAGGCGAGGAUCAGUAGCUGGUCUGUUAGGAUGAUCAGCCACACUGGGACUGAGACACGGCCCAGACUCCUACGGGAGGGAGCAGUGGGGAAUCUUGCGCAAUGGGGGAAAGCCUGACGCAGCCAUGCCGCGUGAAUGAUGAAGGUCGUAGGAUUGUAAAAUUCUUUCAGCGGGGACGAUAAUGACGGUACCCGCAGAAGAAGCACCGGCUAACUUCGUG